UACGUAGGGUGCGAGCGUUAAUCGGAAUUACUGGGCGUAAAGGGUGCGCAGGCGGUCUCCCAAGUCCGUUGUGAAAGCCCCGGGCUCAACCUGGGAAUGGCAGUGGAAACUAGGGGACUGGAAUCUGGCAGAGGGGGGUGGAAUGCCGCGUGUAGCAGUGAAAUGCGCAGAUAUCAGGAGGAACACCAAUGGCGAAGGCAGCUCGCUGGGACGUGACUGACGCUGAGACGCGAAAGCGUGGGGAGCAAACAGG
rnacentral:rRNA from 1 species